GCAGCGCAGUUUGUCAGCCUCAUCUGAGUGUGUGUGUGUGUGGGUGUGUGUGUGUGUGUUGUCUCGCUGCUCGUACGCAUGUCUGAUGGUUCGUGCCACAGAAGGACCUGCCUGACUGCCUGAGACCUUCUAGCUCUGCUCAUCCUCCUCAUCAUGUUCUUGUUGUAGUCCGAAGCUCUUUUUUUUUGUUUUUCCCGCUGAAAGCCUUUAAGUAGACUCGAAGAAGAAGGAGAAAGCAGGAAAAAACAAAAUUAACAACAACAAAAAAAAAACCCAAACAAACAAAAAAAAGAAAAAAGCAUGCAGUAUUGACUGGACCGAUGAUGUGUACACUGAAUUCAGGACUGCAGGACUACAAUAGCGAAAAGCCCUCCUUGCCUUUUUAGAGGCCACAAGAAGGGGGGGAAAAGGAAAAGAGAAAAACGGAGGAAAGGCGCCGCAGUCCUGCAAGUCGGAGGGGGAGAUCGACACCGAAGAGAGUCCUCGAUCAUCGGGGGUCUCACCCUGAAGCCUGAGGAGCCAUGUCAUCCACGAAAAUCAAGAAGGAUAAGGAGAUCAUAGCGGAGUACGAGACCCAAGUGAAAGAGAUCCGUAAUCAGCUCGUGGAGCAGUUUAAAUGCUUGGAGCAGCAGUCGGAGUCUCGUAUCCAGCUGCUGCAGGACCUGCAGGAGUUCUUCCGACGCAAAGCUGAGAUCGAACUGGAAUACUCUCGCAGCUUGGAGAAACUGGCUGAGAGAUUCUCCUCAAAGAUCCGCAGCUCCAGGGAGCAUCAGCAGUUUAAGAAAGACCAGCACUUGCUGUCCUCCGUAAACUGCUGGUAUCUGUUGCUGAACCAGACAAGGCGUGAGAGCCGAGACCAUGCCACGCUCAGCGACAUCUACACCAACAACGUCAUUGUGCGCUUGGCUCAGAUCAGUGAGGACAUCAUCCGCCUGUUCAAGAAGAGCAAAGAAAUUGGGAUCCAGAUGCACGAGGAGCUGGUGAAGGUGACAAAUGAACUUUACACUGUGAUGAAGACAUACCACAUGUACCACACUGAGAGCAUCAGCGCUGAGAGCAAGCUGAAAGAUGCAGAAAAGCAGGAGGAAAAGCAGUUCAGCAAGUCCGGAGAUCUUAACGUCAACCUCCUGCGCCAUGAAGACCGCCAGCCGCGGCGCAGCUCUGCCAGAAAGAUCGAGAAGAUGAAAGAAAAGAGGCAAGCCAAGUAUUCAGAGAAUAAGCUGAAAUGCACAAAAGCCAGGAAUGACUAUUUGUUGAACCUGGCAGCAACCAAUGCAGUGGUGGCAAAAUAUUAUAUCCACGACGUCUCCGACAUGAUUGAUUGCUGUGAUCUUGGCUACCAUGCCAGCUUGGCGCGCACCUUCAGGACGUACUUGUCUGCAGAGUACAACCUGGAGACGUCGCGCCACGAGGGACUGGACAUCAUUGAGAAUGCGGUGGACAACCUGGACUCUCGCAGUGAUAAGCACAAGAUCAUGGAUAUGCAUAACCAGGUGUUCUGUCCUCCGAUGCGCUUUGAAUACCUGCCACACAUGGGAGAUGAGGUGUGCCAGGUCAGCGCCCAGCAGCCGGUGCAAACUGAGCUCCUGAUGCGCUACCACCAACUGCAGUCUCGGUUAGCAACACUGAAGAUCGAGAACGAAGAAGUGAGGAAGACCUUGGAUGCAACCAUGCAAACACUCCAGGACAUGCUGACAGUGGAGGACUUUGACGUGUCAGAUGCCUUUCAGCACAGCCGCUCCACUGAAUCCAUCAAGUCUGUGGCCUCUGAGUCAUACAUGAGCAAGCUCAACAUAGCCAAGAGGCGGUCAAACCAGCAAGAGACUGAAACUUUCUACUUUUCGAAAUUUAAAGAGUACCUGAAUGGCAGUAACCUCAUCAUCAAACUACAGGCGAAGCAUGACUUACUGAAGCAGACGCUGGGAGAAGGGGAAAGAGCCGAGUGUGGAACAACGAGGCCGCCCACCCUUCCCCCUAAACCACAGAAAAUGCGGAAACCUAGGCCACGCUCCAUGUUUAACCAUAAACUGUUUAACGGCAAUAUGGAGACCUUCAUCAAGGAUUCAGGCCAACCGAUUCCUCUUGUUGUUGAAAGCUGCGUCAGAUACAUCAAUCUGUACGGGUUGCAGCAGCAGGGGAUAUUUCGCGUGCCAGGAUCACAGGUGGAAGUCAACGACAUCAAAAACUCAUUUGAAAGAGGUGAGGACCCACUGAUUGAUGACCAGAAUGACCACGAUAUUAACUCAGUGGCAGGAGUGCUGAAGCUGUAUUUCAGAGGGCUGGAGAACCCACUCUUCCCAAAGGAGCGUUUCCUGGAUUUCAUCUCCACCAUCAAGCUGGAGUCAGAAGCAGAGAGAGCCCAUCACAUCCAGCAGAUAGUUGUUACUCUUCCUCGGACCGUCAUAAUCGUCAUGAGAUACCUUUUUGCAUUUCUCAAUCAUCUUUCCCAGUACAGCGAUGAAAACAUGAUGGAUCCCUACAAUUUAGCCAUCUGCUUUGGCCCCACUCUGAUGCCCAUCCCGGACGGCCAGGAUCCUGUGGCGUGUCAGGCACAUGUCAACGAAGUCAUCAAGACCAUCAUCGUCAACCAUGAAGUCAUCUUCCCAAAUCAGCGUGAGCUGGAUGGGCCGGUAUACGAGAAGUGCAUGACGGGUGGGGAAGAGUACUGUGACAGUCCCCACAGUGAACCAGGAACCAUCGAUGAAGUUGAUAAUGGAACUGAGCCACACACUAGUGAUGAAGAGGUCGAACAAAUUGAAGCCAUUGCCAAGUUCGACUACACAGGACGCAGUCCCCGGGAGCUGUCCUUCAAGAAGGGAGCGUCUCUGCUUCUGUAUCACAGGGCCUCUGAGGACUGGUGGGAGGGUCGUCACAACGGCGUGGACGGACUCAUCCCCCAUCAGUAUAUUGUUGUGCAAGACUUGGAUGAUGCCUUCUCCGAUAAUCUCAGCCAGAAAGCAGACAGUGAAGCCAGCAGUGGACCGUUACUGGAAGAGAAGGGUUCUUCCAAAAAUGACAUCCCAUCGCCGUGUGAGCAGUCAGCAGAUUACAACUUUGGAGGAGUCAUGGGGAGGGUCAGGCUACGAUCAGAUGGCGCUGCAGUCCCGCGCCGUCGGAGCGGCGGUGCGGAGACCCACAGCCCAACCAGAGUACCUGACACUCCGCCGCGUGCCGCUGCCUGUCCCAGCAGUCCUCAUAAAAUAUCCAUUAGCAAGGCUCGCAUGGAAAGUCCAGAAAAAAGGCGACUUGGCACUUUUGGUAGUGCAGGCAGUAUUAACUAUCCAGAUAGGAAGGGAUAUCCAGAGGGCCACCCACUGAGACCAGGGGCCACUCGCCACAGCAGCCUGGGGGACCAUAAAACACUGGAGACCGAGGCUCUGGCUGAGGACAUUGAGAAGACCAUGAGUACUGCACUCCAUGAGCUACGGGAGCUGGAGCGCCAGAACACCGUGAAGCAGGCCCCCGAUGUGGUCCUGGACACCCUGGAGCCAAUGAAGAACCCGGCGAGCUCAGAGCCCGGCAGUCCACUUCACACCAUCAUGAUCCGUGACCCGGACGCAGCCAUGCGGCGCAGCAGCAGCUCCACCUCUGAGAUGAUGACCACCUUCAAACCCGCCCUGUCUGCCCGGCUGGCCGGGGCUCAGCUGCGCCCCCCGGCCAUGAGACCGGCACGCUCCGCUCCGACGCAGCACCGCUCGAGCAGCUCCAGCUCUUCGGGGGUUGGCAGUCCCGCUGUGACUCCCACUGAAAAACUGUUUCCCAGUAACAGCUCCGCUUCAGGGUCCAAUGUGAAUGUUUCAGGUGAUGCCGGGGAUAAGACUGGCAGCAUGUAGCAGAGGUGGAAUCUGUUGUGAAAGAGAGAAAAGAUGAUCGAAACAAGAAAAUAUUCCUUAAAGUAGAGAAAAAUAUUGUCCUCAUUAUACAGGAGUCUCCAGGUUACCAUGGUGACAAAGCAGCAGACGAUGCUGUAGGGGUUUAAUGUCAUACAGCGUUUGAAACUUGACCUACUGUGUAAAAGACUAUGUAAACUUCAGUUAUACCUCAGCUUCAGCAGAAAUCUGUGGCCAUGCUCUCGUUUUGGAGAUUUGUUGAAGGCCAUUGAAGCAAUACUUGAGUGGGGAAAAAAAAGAAGAAAAAUAAAGAUUCCCACUCGUGACCAUCCAGUCCAGCUGAUGUUUUCCAUCUCUCCUGUAUGAAAACACGUCACGUGGACGAGUGUCAAACCACUAAAAAACAUCCUUUGUUUACAGUCCAGGGCUCAAAACUUAUGGCUCUGCUUACAGUACAAGAACAAUGUGACACCAGGAUGAUAUUUAUUUCUGCAUGCAUGGAAAGGAGAACGAAGGGCAAACUUUGGAUGGAGUUUGUUAACCAUUGUAGAAACUUCUAUAUAUUAAUCACUAUGAUGGAAAAAAUGCAACAAGCUUAAAGUAUCCAACAUUUCUAGGGAAAAAAAUGCCUUGUUAUCUUUAUGUGUUGGAUUUAAAAAUUGGCAUGAGUGUGGCAACACUGCAGCAGAUGAAGCAUCUUGGCAUGAAGAAACUUGACAAAUCAGUGCCAUGGUACUAGAGCAAAAUAUUUUCCCUCCAUAAUGCAUGGUUGGACAGAGCAGACUGAACACGGCCCUGUCCAGGGUUUGUUCUCAAGUGCUGAAUAUGAAAUGCAGAAAAUGAACAAACCACCUAAUGAAGGAAUCCUGAAGGGAACUUGUACAGAAUAUAGAGCUAGUAAUUUGUGUUUUAUCGUGUACAGGUUAAAACGAAGAUGGGAUGACCUGAGCUUAGAUCUUAAAACACAUUUGUAUUAUUUUCAGUAAAUUACAAGGAAAUUAUUUGAUAGUAAAAUACAGUUUAGAUCUUCUACAAUGUACUCUGUAAUUAGAGUGUGUUUGGAAAUAGCAUUAAAGAGCAAAGGCUGAAUAAAGGAUUUUUUUUUUGUUUAUGUUGCUUAAAAUAUUUUCUAUCUUGACACCAUUUUCAUCUAGAUUGUUUCAUAUUAAAGGCUUAUUUAAUUUUCUUUUCUUUAGUUACCACAGUUUUUUUAAGGUUCUUUUUCAAAUUUACAUUAAUCUUUUUAUUUACAGUAAAAUUUAGUAUGGAGGUCAGAAUUUGCCAAAAUUGUUUAAAUAAAUAAAUCAUGAAAUUGUUACAGAAUUGUAUCAAUAGUAAAUUAAAAAUGGAAAGAGCUACAUUGAUGAUUUUAAACAUGUGUAAUUAAGAGUGUCCUAAACAUAUGUAUUUUAUAAAAUAAAAUAAUAAUUAUCUCACUAUUUAAUGUUUUUUCAUGGCUAUUUGCUGUAAUAGAUCAUGAUUUAUUUUUUUUAUCUGUCAGUAGGUGGUCAGAGCUGCCAUUGGUCCUGUUAAACUAAUUAAAACUGACUUACUCUGCAGGCUCACCAAUCAAACGUGAGGUUU